rnacentral:rRNA from 1 species
GAAACUGCAGGUAAUACCGGAUAAUGUCUCCGGACUAAAGGUGUAAUUCCGUCUAGGGAUGGGUCCGCGUCCUACUAGCUUGUUGGUGGGGUAACGGCCUACCAAGGCAAAGAUGGGUAGCGGGUGUGAGAGCAUGGCCCGUCUCACUGGGACUGAGACACUGCCCAGACACCUACGGGUGGCUGCAGUCGAGAAUCUUCCGCAAUGGGCGCAAGCCUGACGGAGCGACGCCGCGUGCGGGAUGAAGGCCUUCGGGUUGUAAACCGCUGUCAGUUGGGAGGAAAUGCUAUGGGGCACUCUCCAUAGUUUGACCGAUCUUCAGAGGAAGUCCGGGCUAAGUUCGUGCCAGCAGCCGCGGUAAGACGAACCGGACAAACGUUAUUCGGAAUUACUGGGCUUAAAGAGUACGUAGGCGGCUUUGUAGGUUGGGGUGUGAAAUCCCACAGCUCAACUGUGGAACUGCGCUCAAA